AUGUACCACGCGUCCACUGCGGUUCUGAGCGCACCGUCCGCGCCCGCCUGGCGGCGGCUCGCUACGUUUUGUUAGCU
rnacentral:sRNA from 1 species